UACGUAGGGUGCAAGCGUUAUCCGGAAUUAUUGGGCGUAAAGAGCUCGUAGGUGGUUUGUCGCGUUGUCCGUGAAAACUCACAGCUCAACUGUGGGCGUGCGGGCGAUACGGGCAGACUGGAGUACUGCAGGGGAGACUGGAAUUCCUGGUGUAGCGGUGGAAUGCGCAGAUAUCAGGAGGAACACCGGUGGCGAAGGCGGGUCUCUGGGCAGUAACUGACGCUGAGGAGCGAAAGCGUGGGGAGCGAACAGG
rnacentral:rRNA from 1 species